AUUGAACGCUGGCGGCAGGCCUAACACAUGCAAGUCGAGCGGGGUUUUCGGACCUAGCGGCGGACGGGUGAGUAAUGCGUAGGAAGCUGCCCGAUAGAGGGGGAUACCAGUUGGAAACGACUGUUAAUACCGCAUAAUGUCUACGGACCAAAGUGUGGGACCUUCGGGCCACAUGCUAUCGGAUGCGCCUACUGGGGAUUAGCCAGUUGGUGAGGUAAUGGCACACCAAGGCGACGAUCUUUAACUGGUUUGAGAGGAUGAUCAGCCACACUGGAAUGGGGACACGGACCAGACUCCUACGGGAGGCAGAAGUGGGGAAUAUUGGACAAUGGGCGCAAGCCUGAUCCGGCCAGGCCGCGUGUGUGAAGAAGGCCUUCGGGUUGUAAAGCACUUUCAGCGAGGAGGAAGGGUGGUGUGUUAAUAGCACAUCAUUUUGACGUUACUCGCAGAAGAAGCACCGGCUAACUCUGUGCCAGCAGCCGCCGUAAAAC
rnacentral:rRNA from 1 species